UAAUCCAUUAUUACCAUUUUCUUACCUUCUAUCUAAAAUUAUAUAUUGCAUACAAAUUUCUUUAUGAAGUGAGUUUCAGGCUAGGAUUUGUGUCAGCAUCUUGUUGCAGUGAGCUGUGGUUUUGUGGUUCUUAUUGAAACCCUCCUCCUUGAUUUUUAAUUUAUAAUAUCAUGGGUUAAUACUUCUCCUUCUGCAUGUGGAUGCUUAGUCAUGGGAAAUGCUAAGCUACUACAUAUGUAGUGCCAUACCUAAGUUUUCUUUGACAUGUAGCUCUUCCACCUCACCAUGAUUUGGUAAGGUGUAAAUUCAUGAUUGUGGUCUUAGUUUUCAUAAGAAACGGUGAUAAAAUAUGUUCCUGAAGAAAUUAGUCCAGAAGCUGAAUGCAGCUUGCCCUUCCAAUGGUGCUUCUUUCUUAUAAAUGAUAUAUAUUUUUUUAUUAGUAUUAUAAGAAAAACCUGCAAAAUUUAUCCUUGAAGAAAUUAGACCUCCUGUGCAACUGUAAAUGUUGUCGAUUUGUAUCUUCGAGUAUCAUAGCAUUCAUUUUGUGAGAUUCAAUUUGGAAGCCUACGAAGCACAAAUAUGUACAUGGCCACAGAUAUGAAACAUCAACAUGUAACUUUUAAAAAGAGAUGAUGCAAAAUGUUGUUUACGAUACUUUAAAUUAUGCAUUGAUGUGUUAUAUAUUAAUUUUUAUACUUCUUUAUGUUUUACCAAAACUUAUUUUAUUAGCUUUGACUGUGAAACUUCCAGGUGAAAUAUUUGAAGUUGAGGACUGGUUGUUUGUAUUAAGACAAGGUUCAGUCGUAAAUUGUAUUAUUAGUGUCAAUAAAAUAAAAAUAAGUGCACGUAAUAAAUGUAAAACAAAUACCUCAUGUUCGUAUAGUUUCACAUUAUUUUGAAGUUUUAAACAUAUUUUUAUGAUUAAAGUUUGCGUAAUUUUGUAUUAAAAUUUACAAAAUAGGGCUUCCUGUGUUGCUAACAAGUUGUGGCAAUGUCUCUCAAAUGCCAGAAAAUUUAGAAUAUAAAAAAUAGGAGCCAUCAUGUGUGUGUUGGUCACAUGUCUAUGCCUUGUUAGUACCUUCUAUCUCGUACAGUCGCUAUUGUGUGUUGAAUUAUUAUUAUUAUUACUUUUAUUUAAAAAGAAAGGGUAUGCCAAGUGGUGCAUGAUUCGUGUCGGACACAUCCCGGUGUGUUGGUGCAUGAUACUUGUCAGAUGCUUCACAUUUGGAACUUUCGUGGUGAACAAAGUGGUGAUAUGCACUAUGAUAUAUGUUUGUCUUUUGUCUAGAUCUAUACAAUCUCUCUCUUUUUUCUUUUAUUUUUUUUAUUUUUAUUUUUUAUAAGUAAUUAUAUAAUUUUAUUAAUAAAUGGGAUAAUACAUGGGGGUGUAUUGUCAAAAUAAACAAGAAAGAAACGACAUGAAGUUAGGCAACCCUUCUAUACGGUUAGUGGCCGCAACGUUAAACCAAUUAUACAAAGUCAUAUAAAAGAAUUCUUUGAAGUAUGAAUAGUAAAUAAUUUGUUUUAGCAGGAAAAUAGAAAUUGAAUAAAGAGGUUUCACAACGGCUUUAUCUACUGACUCGUAUUCUGAUACAGAAUUCAUAAUUCAUCUACUCUCUCUAAAAUUCUUUGAUGAGUUGACCAUUGUGAACUAAAAUUGUUUCUUGGCAAUUGAUUCAUUUCUUCAUUUCCAUCUACCGAUGGAUGUUUCCUUAGUUCCAUGGGGAGAAGAUGUGAUCAUGGGCCAGAUGAUGAAUUAGUUACUUUAGAACUUUAUCUACAAAAUUAGAUAUCACCCAAAGAGAGUAACUUUGUGGGCAUCCCUAGCCAUUCUUCAACCUCUCUUAUCCCCAAAUUUCCUUUAUAGUUAGUGAACAAUCCCUGUCCUGACAUUCUGUAGCUGGCUUUGACUACAGUUAUGAGCAUCAUGUGUAUCAUUGACAGAAGACUAAUUCAAUAUCUCAUGACAGAUCCAGUCUACUUCUCAUGUUAACAAAUUAGUUCUAUCACUUGUGGGCAUCCUAGCCAUUCUUCAACCUCUCUUAUCCUCAAAUUUCCUUUAUAGUUAGUGAACAAUCCCUGUCCUGACAUUCUGUAUCUGGCUUUGACUACAGUUAUGAGCAUCAUGUGUAUCAUUGACAGAAGACUAAUUCAAUAUCUCAUGACAGAUCCAGUCUACUUCUCAUGUUAACUAAUUAGUUCUAUCACUUGCGUCGUCCAUGUCUAAUAAAUCUGAAAUACCAAUAUUUGGUGCCAGAACUCUGGGUUUUAAGUUAUUGUCUUUUGGUUAAAUGAAUGAUGAAACUCAAAUGUAUCUAUCCCACCUUAUUGCAGCG
rnacentral:lncRNA from 1 species